GACAGAGGGUGCGAACGUUGUUCGGAAUUACUGGGCGUAAAGCGCACGUAGGCGGAUUGCUAAGUCAGGGGUGAAAUCCUGGAGCUCAACUCCAGAACUGCCUUUGAUACUGGCGACCUUGAGUCCGGGAGAGGUGAGUGGAACUGCGAGUGUAGAGGUGAAAUUCGUAGAUAUUCGCAAGAACACCAGUGGCGAAGGCGGCUCACUGGCCCGGUACUGACGCUGAGGUGCGAAAGCGUGGGGAGCAAACAGG
rnacentral:rRNA from 1 species